CGCGUUCAGUCUUUUCUAGUCUGUUCCGGGUCAGCAAUUCUUGCUAGAAUCUCCUAGCCACCCCUCCGGGCAGUCUGGUUGGUAGGUGCCUGGUGACGCAAGAGGAGUAGGCGUCAAUUUGGGCAACCCCGCCUCGGCCUGAGCCUGACCCUGUGGCCCGUGUUUCGCGCCUCCCGGCCGGGCGGCUUCCAGGCUCCGCCAUGUCCCUGGCUGUGGGCGACAGCGGGCGGAUGGGCAGGUUCAGCAGGCGGGGGGCGACCCCCGGGACGCCCUGGCUGGGGGGCGGAGUGGUGGCUCGGAGUCUGCAGGCCGAGCUGCUGCAGGAGGAGGAGGCAGUGAGCGGUGUCUCUGUGUCCCAGGGCGGGGCCCCGUUGCCGCCGCUGUCCCACAAGCGGAAUGGCGUGUCGAUGGCUCCGCCGGGGGGGAAACGUUGGCCGGCCCGGGCCUGCUCGAUGCUGUGCUGCCUCCUGGCCGUCUCCGCCCUCGCCUUCCUCCUGGCCAUCGCUUGCCUCGUGCUCAAAGAUUUGCGCUCCGAGAAAGAGAAGAAUGAAGAUGGUAUAGAAACUGGCUUGCUAGGAUUUUGGGGUCUGUUUGUUCUAGCCUUGAUGACAGGGCUCUCAUGCUGCAGCUUUUCUUGGACGGUGACUUAUUUUGAUUCCUUUGAACCAGGAAUGUUUCCUCCGACUCCACUUUCACCUGCACGAUUCAACCUGGGUGUGUGAUAACGGCACUCGCUUCACUGCAGUAAAUAAGGCUCCACCACUGAAGUUUCUCUGCACCAACACCAGCAAAGGAGACUGACAGGGCAUUCCUUCCACAUGGGCUAUAGUAUGGCAAUACUGAAUGGCAUUGUGGCAGCUCUCACCAUAGUAUGGUGCCUCAUUUGAAUCCUACGCUGGCUCGGUGAUCUUCAACAGGUCAAGAUGCACAUAGAAACUACUAUAAACUGUCCAGUCCGCUUUUUUUACAACACUGUGGAACGACAUUUCACAUCUCAAAUAGAAAUGUUUGUCAUUCACUGUAUGUUUCAGAUUUAUAGACGAAUCUUUGGGUUUAUAUUUAUAGGGUGUUUGCUUGAGUUGCAUUAAGAGUGGGGGGAGGGGAAAAUGCCAUAUACAAAUUGAAAAUGUUUUAAACCCAGGGAAUGACACUUUGAUUGCUAUUACUGUAUAAAGGAUUCUUAUCUGCACUUCCAGCUAUACUACAGAGUACAGAUAAACAUGACACUUAUGAAUUUAACCAUAUAUUUAAAAUGUACAGUGUUGCUAAUAAUAAAGGCCACUAACUUUUUUUUCACCGAACAUGCUAUUUAACUUGUACUUGGCCUAGGCAGUAAAAACUAGAUUGACUUUUGCUAGUCUACUCAAUUUUAUACUCUGUUUUGUCAGCAUUCGUGCAAUACUUGUUUAUAACACUGCAGAGGACAAUUUAUUUAAAUAUUUCAUUAGAUUUAAAAAAAAAAUCAAAAUAUUUCAUUUCAUAUUAGCUUUUAUCAACUGUCCCCUCUUUGUUUUGUAAACAAUCUAAAACUUGUGCCUAAAUCACCUGAUAGUGUUUUUACUUUGGAGUAAUGCAACUAUAUGCUAGAACUACUGUAUAUACAAAAAAAGUUUCACUAAGAAUGUGUGGAAACUUCUCCACUUUGUGCCAUUAAAGAAUAGAAAAUAUUGCCUAAAUCUUUUUACAUGGUAAAUUUAAUACAUAACAUCAGUUUCCAGGAUCUGCAGUAGAGUACCUCACUGAAGAACUGCAGGAGUUAUUUUUAUGGCUUUUUUGCAUCUUUGUAAUGUAUGUAACUGCUCAGUUUCUUACAAUAUUUUUCUUAAUCUCUUAAAAGGAUCAGGAGUCUACCAAACAGUUAAACUACAAUGGCAUAUGUGUUGGAAUUUCAUUUUUUACUUUUUUUGCUUCACAUGCAUAUUUGAAGUUUAUGGAUAUUUUAAGAUGUAUAUUGGUUGUAUUCUGUAAUUAAAAUGCUUGUAAAGUUGAUUAGAGCAUCAAACUCUUGUAAGAGUAUAAAAAAAAAAAAUUCAUUUCCAGAUAAUGUGUAACUUAAAAAAUUGACAUCCUGUAAAAUGUGCAAAUCAGCAGUUCAAUUUGGAUUUCAACAAAUCACAAUGAUCACUUAGUUGACUACACUUUUAAAAUGUAUGUAUUGUUUACAUAUAAGGGUGUGCAUGUUUAGUAUAUUAAAGCUAAACCAAUUCCUUUUUCUAGUAUAUUAAACAGAUAUUGAUACUGAAUUCAGAUCUUUUCAUGGUGUAAACCCUACAUAUGUAUAAAUAGCUUUAGUCAAAUGCAAUGUUUACUUUUUUACAUUAAACAGAAAAUAGUUUAAGGUCCAAGCACUUGUUAAUAAAUAUUUUUACAUUUUUAA